rnacentral:lncRNA from 1 species
UUUUUUUUUUUUUUUUUUUUUGCGAAAAGAUCUGGAGAUAUCAAAUCUAAAAAUACGUAUCCUUUUUAAACAAAGCAAGCAAUCUUCAAUAUGGAAUCCCCACCUGUCCUGGUAGUCUCCCUAAUACCAAGAACCAAUAACAGCUACCAUUAAUCAUUUCACUUGCAUUACUUUUCUUUCUAUGGUAGAGAAAUAUUUCAUCUAAAAAUGUCUAUUUUAAAUGGAAAGAAAAAAUAGAAACCCAGAGGGCUCUUUGAUUAUCCUUUCCCCAAUCCUGCUCACUUAAUUAUGCUCCCUGUCUGGCCCUGUCGAGACAUUGGAGUUUGUGAUCACCCCUUUUUAUCCCUAGAUGAGAACCAAAUAAUCUCUUGAAAUAAAAAUAAAUGAAGAUUGUGGGAUUCUUGCUUAUCAGGAUGGCCUAUACCAGAAGGGAAUCAAGAAGCUAAAAUUGAUUAUAUAGUCUAAGAGUCACCUGCCCAGUUUCUAGAGCAAGAUACUUGAGUUCAAAUCCUGACUUUGCCGUUAUGGAUUGUGUGAUCUUGGGCAAAUUAUUUAAUGUCCCUGAUAUUCAGCUGUCUUAUUGUUAAAAUGGGGAUAAUAAUAGCAUUUACCCAGUAGGGCCAUUUGAGGGUAAAAUUAAGUGCUCAGAACGGUGCCUGGUUAGUAGUAAAUGCUACAUACAUUGUAGAACCAAACUAAAAUGGAGUCCCUUACGUCAAGGACAAACGGAGAUGUUCAACGCAGGUCCAUAAAAGAAACCUAUUCCUUACAGAUACUUACAGCUUUCUCAGAAAUCAUCAGAGGACACCAGCCAAUCCUCAAACACCAAACCUGUUCAUAGCACUUCUGAAUUUUCUUAUCCCCUCGACUCAGCUACCCUGAUCCAAAUAAGCAAGAAGACCACUAGGCGGCCAGUUAGCUGAAAAAAAGUCAAAUAACUUCCAUAUUUAUCCUAUGAAAGUCUCGUAGUCUGUGACCAACCCAGAACUCAAUGCUGCCAUAGCCUUGAGUUUCCAAGAUUGCAGGUCAAAAGCCUUGCAAAAACUCAUCAUUCUGCUUUGUUUGAUUCAGUAAGCAGAGUCUGGUUUUUGACAACACGUUCGCUAUUAUUAUCAUAAGAAAGGAACUGUCCCUAUAAACAUUCCCACCUUGUCCAGUGUCGUUGUAAGUGGCAUAGUUGGUAAAAUUAUCUAGCCCCAGAAUACAUAUAAACACUUUGAUGAAAUUAUGCCUACACAAUUAAAAUUAAAUAGCAAAGCAAUUAUCGAAUAAAGUGAGCUAAUGUAGAUGGUUAAUUUGCCUGGAUAAUUCAUGUCCUAAUUUUUUUUAAUCUUAUAAAGUAGGUAGUAGAGCUCAGAUCCCAAAUGUCUAAGUCUCUACAUAAACUCUCCAAAUUCAAUUGGCCUACAUAUUCCUAAUUUAAAAAUAAAUAAAUAACUUGUUUAAAAACAAUAACAGUUAUGUCUUCAACAAGAAGUUCGCCUCACGGCUCUACAAAUAUUCAUGCCUCAUCUAACUAGUAGUCCCUUGAGCUCACAUUUCUACCUCUGACUUUUUCCUUUCCAAAGGAAAAGCAAACUUCCUUCUCACUGUCACCGAAAUCUCUAUGUGGAUGGUCAGGGACUUAUGACAGGGUGGCAGGAUGAUAUGGGGCAGGAAAGGAAAGAAAAUAAAUCAUGUACCUAAUACAAAGGAAAGCACAGAGCACUAAUUGUAAUUUUAUAAAGAAGAGAAGAUACGCAAGUAUUAAUUUGUCACAUGCAUGUUCCAUAAAUGCACUAAGGGGAAAUACAUGGACAUGAGUACCCUUGAAUAAAGUAUAAUGAGUCUUAACUAUCUUGCCUGGAAGCAAUCUAUAUGCUGAAACGUUGCCCAGCAGGACAGGGAGAUCCUUAGCAGCUCUAACCUGCACAUAAAGAAUCUUUCCCAGGCCAUUCCAGUUCCCAAAGGCUCUAGUUUCAACUCCAGGGCAAUUUAUGAUAUCUACCGGAGACUCUCAGGGCAAAGCAAGACAUUAUAUUGGCUGAUUUGAUGAAUCAAGUCAAAGUAGCCACAUCAAAAUGUAAUUCUCAAGUCACGUAACCUACAAAUAUUCUUCAUCUUUACCCCAAUCUUGCAGCCACGGAAUAAAGGGUAAACUUCAGGAUGAGACAUCUCAUAUAACAAUUAAUUUUUUUCCUGAAAGUUUAAUGAUUCUUAGAAAAUUACCAACUUGGACAUUCUAGAUGCUUCCAUGGAAAUAGAGAAAUGCUACAAUGGGCAGUUUUAAGUUUCAAAUGGGGCCACUAAAGAAGACAUUAAUAAAACAGUGAACAUCGGGUGCCCGCCAUAUAAUAAGUACUAUAAAAAGUCUAGGGGUCAAAUAAGUAGCCAACUUUUUCCUACUCCAUCCUGUCCAACAAACCCUCCCGGCUUCCAAAUUCAUUUGCCAGCAUUAAAUUCACCUUUAUGUAAAACUGAAUUAAGCUCUUCUGGAUUAAAUAAUUUAGGACAACUGGAAAAGAGGCAAAAUACAUUUUUCUCCUUUUAAAAUAGUCACUUAGAAAAUAAAAUAUACCCACAAUACUAUAAAACACCCCCACAAACAGCACAUAUACUUGAGCAGAGCAAUAUAAGGGUCCCAUGUAUUUUUAGACCAAUGCAAGCUUUGGACCAAACAAGGUGGAGGGAAAUAAAGAGUCGGGCAAAGGUCGCCUGGAAUCUAAUCCUGAAUGCGGACACUCGGCCCCUGUAACCCUGCACAGAACACUGUUCCUCUCUUGGACCAGUAAAUGAAGAGACUAGAUGAGAUUUUAAAAGUUCGUUUCAGGGAUGCCUGGGUGGCUCAGCAGUGGAGCAUCUGCCUUCGCCUCAGGUCAUCACCCUGGGGUCCCCGAUGGAGUCCCACAUCGGGCGCCCCGCAGGGAGCCUGCUUCUCCCUCUGCCUGGGUCUCUGCCUCUCUCUCUCUCUCUCUCUCUCUCUCUCUCUGAGUCUCUCAUGAAUAAAUAAAUAAAAUCUUUAAAAAAAAAAAGUUUGUUUCAGCUCUGAUGAGAGCUUAAUACAAAGAAUACCAAAAACUUUCAAAAGGCUUAUUGCUGUAUUCCAUAAUGAUUGCUUAAAAUUAUUAGGCAAAUCCUGAGAUUUUCACUUCAGUGGUGUUUAUUAGGACAGGCUUGUUUCCCAAACUGAACCUUUACAUACACACGGUAUAUACAGAACCAAUCAGUACAAGGUAGAGUUAAAUGUGAAAUCCUCCGGGGGUUUAACCCGAGGGAAGAUGAUAUGUUUAAAAGGACAAAUAUCCUCUAGAAAAAAUACACAAACACACAUUUUUCAUGCAAUUUUAGAAGAUUCACAAAACCUUAGAUUAAAUUUUGAGAAAAACUGGAAUUUGAAUAUGGGAGGCAAAGGGGGGUUUUACUUAAUGAGAGCUUCCUAGCCCCUGGGGAGAAGAGUAUCUACAUGGCAUUUUGCUUAAAAUCUAAAUGCAUUGUAUUCGACAGCCACCUUAUGACAUUACUGCAGCUAGUCUCCAGCUAAAAUUCAGAUCUCUUGAAACUAUAAGGCAAAUCCAGCUUUUUAGUCAUAAUUAAGCUUUCAAAAACAUUAACAGAAUAUUUUCAUUCAUUCAUUCUGAGAAGGAAAUGCUGUUCAUUUUCAUUCAAAGACCUGCUUCCUUUUCAUUCUAAAACAAAACAAAACAAAACAAAACCCAAGGAAUCUGAAAUGAUGAGAUGCCCUCUUGUGUUUCUAAACAGUUAAUGCAAGGAUUUUUUGAAUUCUAGCAAUUUGGAGGAUUUCAUAUUAAACAGUGAACACAGCAGGAUUUUAAAAUCCUAAAGCACUUCUGUUGACCUCCAGCGACCGGAAUAUCUCCUUAUGCAACAGAAGUUCCUCUUUGCCAAUUAAAAAGUCCUCAUUCCUCUCUCUGUGUAAUAGCACAUCCUGUUCCUGGCUGAGAAGAAAAUAAAAUUAACCUUGGGCUGGCGGCUGUGCGCCUGAUUUCCCUGGGCGAGUGAAUGAGCUCACCAAAUGUAUAAAUAAUGUGCCCAAGUCUCCUUCUUGCUCAGGUUUUUUCUUUUUUCUUUUUUUUUAAUUUUCAUUGCCCAGAAGCCUGGAGCACAAUUGCAACCUGCUAAUAUGUUAAUACUUUCACCAGGGCUUGAUUCCAGUUGCUGAAAAACCAGUAAGAUAACAGUAAACACAGAAGGAUGGCCCAAACUUCCUGUUCUUUGUUGGCAGGAUUUUGGUGUGCAGCUUGCAAAGUUUGACAAAUUAUGCAAAGAAACAAAUGUAAAAGGACAGUUCAGAGAUCUAAAUUGAGGUGCUGGAGCUCAGUUGUUUUAGUGGAACUGCCACUGGAC